UACGGAGGGUGCAAGCGUUAUCCGGAUUUAUUGGGUUUAAAGGGUCCGCAGGCGGACUUAUAAGUCAGUGGUGAAAGCCUGUCGCUUAACGAUAGAACUGCCAUUGAUACUGUAAGUCUUGAGUAUAUUUGAGGGAGCUGGAAUAAGUGGUGUAGCGGUGAAAUGCAUAGAUAUUACGUAGAACACCAAUUGCGAAGGCAGGUUACCAAGAUAUAACUGACGCUGAGGGACGAAAGCGUGGGGAGCAAGCAGG
rnacentral:rRNA from 1 species